rnacentral:rRNA from 1 species
GACGAACGCUUGCGGCGUGCUUAACACAUGCAAGUCGAACGGAAAGGCCCUGCUUUUGUGGGGUGCUCGAGUGGCGAACGGGUGAGUAACACGUGAGUAACCUGCCCUUGACUUUGGGAUAACUUCAGGAAACUGGGGCUAAUACCGGAUAGGAGCUCCUGCUGCAUGGUGGGGGUUGGAAAGUUUCGGCGGUUGGGGAUGGACUCGCGGCUUAUCAGCUUGUUGGUGGGGUAGUGGCUUACCAAGGCUUUGACGGGUAGCCGGCCUGAGAGGGUGACCGGCCACAUUGGGACUGAGAUACGGCCCAGACUCCUACGGGAGGCAGCAGUGGGGAAUAUUGCACAAUGGGCGGAAGCCUGAUGCAGCAACGCCGCGUGCGGGAUGACGGCCUUCGGGUUGUAAACCGCUUUCGCCUGUGACGAAGCGUGAGUGACGGUAAUGGGUAAAGAAGCACCGGCUAACUACGUGCCAGCAGCCGCGGUGAUACGUAGGGUGCGAGCGUUGUCCGGAUUUAUUGGGCGUAAAGGGCUCGUAGGUGUUGAUCGCGUCGGAAGUGUAAUCUUGGGGCUUAACCCUGAGCGUGCUUUCGAUACGGGUUGACUUGAGGAAGGUAGGGGAGAAUGGAAUUCCUGGUGGAGCGGUGGAAUGCGCAGAUAUCAGGAGGAACACCAGUGGCGAAGGCGGUUCUCUGGGCCUUUCCUGACGCUGAGGAGCGAAAGCGUGGGGAGCGAACAGGCUUAGAUACCCUGGUAGUCCACGCUGUAAACGGUGGGUACUAGGUGUGGGGUCCAUUCCACGGGUUCCGCGCCGUAGCUAACGCUUUAAGUACCCCGCCUGGGGAGUACGGCCGCAAGGCUAAAACUCAAAGGAAUUGACGGGGCCCCGCACAAGCGGCGGAGCAUGCGGAUUAAUUCGAUGCAACGCGUAGAACCUUACCUGGGUUUGACAUGGAUCGGGAGUGCUCAGAGAUGGGUGUGCCUCUUUUGGGGUCGGUUCACAGGUGGUGCAUGGCUGUCGUCAGCUCGUGUCGUGAGAUGUUGGGUUAAGUCCCGCAACGAGCGCAACCCUUGUUCACUGUUGCCAGCACGUUAUGGUGGGGACUCAGUGGAGACCGCCGGGGUCAACUCGGAGGAAGGUGGGGAUGACGUCAAGUCAUCAUGCCCCUUAUGUCCAGGGCUUCACGCAUGCUACAAUGGCUGGUACAGAGAGUGGCGAGCCUGUGAGGGUGAGCGAAUCUCGGAAAGCCGGUCUCAGUUCGGAUUGGGGUCUGCAACUCGACCUCAUGAAGUCGGAGUCGCUAGUAAUCGCAGAUCAGCAACGCUGCGGUGAAUACGUUCCCGGG